GGAUUUAGCUCAGUGGUAGAGUGCUUGCCUAGCAAGCGCAAGGCCCUGGGUUCGGUCCCCAGAUCCG
rfam:Rattus norvegicus chromosome 5, whole genome shotgun sequence.